rnacentral:rRNA from 1 species
CGGGGGGGCAAGCGUUGUUCGGAAUUACUGGGCGUAAAGGGCUCGUAGGCGGCCAACUAAGUCAUACGUGAAAUCCCUCGGCUUAACCGGGGAACUGCGUCUGAUACUGGAUGGCUUGAGUUCGGGAGAGGGAUGCGGAAUUCCAGGUGUAGCGGUGAAAUGCGUAGAUAUCUGGAGGAACACCGGUGGCGAAGGCGGCAUCCUGGACCGAUACUGACGCUGAGGAGCGAAAGCCAGGGGAGCAAACGGGAUUAGAUACCCCGGUAGUCCUGGCCCUAAACGAUGAAUGCUUGGUGUGGCGGGUAUCGAUCCCUGCCGUGCCGAAGCUAACGCAUUAAGCAUUCCGCCUGGGGAGUACGGUCGCAAGGCUG